GACGAACGCUGGCGGCGUGCUUAACACAUGCAAGUCGAACGGAAAGGCCCUGCUUUUGUGGGGUGCUCGAGUGGCGAACGGGCGCGUGUCACGUGCGUAACCUGCCCCUGCCUUUGGGAUAACUUCAGGACAUCGGGACUAAUACCGGAUAGGAGCUUCUGCUGCAUGGUGCGGGUUGGCUAGUUGCGGCGGUUGGGGAUGGACUCGCGGCUUAUCAGCUUGUUGGUGGGGUAGUGGCUUACCAAGGCUUUGUCGGGCAGCCGGCCUGAGACUGUGACCGGGCACAUUGGGACUGAGAUACGGCCGGGACUCCUGCGGGAGGCAGCAGUAGGGGAGAAUGCACAAUGCAGGGAAGCCUGAUGCAGCAAGACCGCGUGCGGGGUGACAGCCUGCGGGUUUGAGACGACUAUCGCCGGUAACGAUGCGUUUUUGACGGUAAUGGGUGAAUAAGCACCGGCUAACUACGUG
rnacentral:rRNA from 1 species